GUUGAUGAGAGUUUGAUCCUGGCUCAGGAUGAACGCCGGCGGCGUGCCUAACACAUGCAAGUCGAGCGAGAAGCCCGGUGGCGGAGAUUUCGGUUGAAGCGACCGGGCGGAAAGCGGCGGACGGGUGAGUAACGCGUAGGCAACCUACCCGCGGGAGAGGGACAGCCUCGGGAAACCGGGAUUAACACCUCAUGAAGCGAGGGCUCCGCAUGGAGCUUUCGCCAAAGAUUUAUCGCCCGCGGAUGGACCUGCGUCUGAUUAUGCCUGUUGGUGGGGUAACGGCCCACCAAAGCUUCGAUCAGUAACCGACCUGAGAGGGUAAUCGGUCACAUUGGAACUGAGACACGGUCCAAACUCCUACGGGAGGCAGCAGUGGGGAAUAUUGCACAAUGGGCGGAAGCCUGAUGCAGCAACGCCGCGUGAGCGAUGACGGUCCUAUGGAUUGUAAAGCUCUGAUCUGAGGGAAGAAACAAAUGACGGUACCUCAGGAGAAAGCCCCGGCUAACUACGUGCCAGCAGCCGCGGUAAUACGUAGGGGGCAAGCGUUAUCCGGAUUUAUUGGGCGUAAAGGGUGCGUAGGUGGCCAUCUAAGCGCGGGGUGAAAGGCAACGGCUCAACCGUUGUGAGCCCUGCGAACUGGUUGGCUUGAGUGCAGGAGGGGAAAGCGGAACUCCCAGUGUAGCGGUGAAAUGCGUAGAUAUUGGGAAGAACACCGG
rnacentral:rRNA from 1 species